UCAACCGGCCUGAGAGGGUGACCGGUCACACUGGGCACUGANCNNCGGCCCAGACUCCUACGGGAGGCAGCAGUGGGGAAUAUUGCACAAUGGGCGNAAGCCUGAUGCAGCAACGCCGNGUGAGGGAUGAAGGCCUUCGGGUUGUAAACCUCUUUUAGCAGGGAAGAAGCGAAAGUGACCGUACCUGCAGAAAAAGC
rnacentral:rRNA from 1 species